UACGUAGGGACCAAGCGUUGUUCGGAUUUACUGGGCGUAAAGGGCGCGUAGGCGGCAUGACAAGUCACUUGUGAAAUCUCCGGGCUUAACUCGGAACGGCCAAGUGAAACUGUCAAGCUAGAGUGCGGAAGGGGCAAUCGGAAUUCUUGGUGUAGCGGUGAAAUGCGUAGAUAUCAAGAGGAACACCUGAGGUGAAGACGGGUUGCUGGGCCGACACUGACGCUGAUGCGCGAAAGCCAGGGGAGCGAACAGG
rnacentral:rRNA from 1 species